ACGAAACUUGCAUCUCUUGCGAAAGAGCAAGGCAAAAACAAUGUGGCCUUCCUUUGUCUUUUUAUGUUAGGUAAAUUAGAGGACUGCCUUCAGCUGCUGAUAGCCAGCAACCGCAUACCAGAAGCAGCACUGAUGGCACGUUCUUAUCUUCCAAGUAAAGUCUCCGAGGUUGUAGGAAUCUGGAAAAAUGAUCUCAAUAAGAUAAACCAGAAAGCUGCAGAGUCUUUGGCUGAUCCUGAAGAGUACCCUAAUUUGUUUGAUAACUGGGAGGUUGCUCUUGCAGUUGAGUCUAGUCUUGCCCAUAAAA
rnacentral:misc_RNA from 1 species